UCCAUGUGUGAAAGCUACUUGGCAUGAAUGCCUGGGCCGUACCAAGUGUCAGCGCAGCGAGGGGGAGUCAGAAGAAAAACAGAUCAGACCAGAGCAGACAAUAGGCCCCUAAAGUGUUCCCCCUAAGUUGCUUUGAUGUUGUCCUAGUGUCUUGAUACCGGGAGGCCAGGGAUUGCAGGAAAAGGGUCUUUUUUGUUUCAUUCACUUUCCCCCUCAGUUUCUGAAAUGAUUCUCCAGAAUUUCUCCUCAUAAAAAAGGACUGAAUGUAGGACUAGCUGGUGUCACUUCACUUUGACUUAAAAUUCCCUGUUGGGAGACGGAGCUCAUUCUUGGCAAGUCCCCUGUGUCCUGAUGUAGAAGAGAGAGUAAAUCGGACAUCUUGGAAGGUGGGGGUCACCUCUGAGAAGGGGGUUCCUGGACUCCUCAGACACCUCACCCCCAGGAUGAGCACUGCAGUAUCGUGACCCUUGGGGUUUG